CUCUCUCUCUCCCUCUAAACGCUGUCCUGUCUGCCAUGCUUGGGUAGCUGCUUGCGUCCCCACAGGUUAGACCAUCAGCAUGCGUUGCUGAGCCCUGACUGGGCAUCAGUGCCUGGAUUCCUCUGCAGUAGAGUUCAGGUAUUAUCUGUUCAAAAUGACGGACAUGUGAUGCCUGCAAUGACGAUGUCUUCACAGUACAAUGACCUAAUUUCCAGUAAGUCAUGCCACCCUUGCCACACAAAGAAGUUAUCUAUUUUGUCAGAUAUGCUGAGAAAGCUAAGCCUUGCUUUACUCUAUUUUUAAUGGAAACUAAGUAGAGGCGCAGCGGCUCGUCCUUCAGUCAGAUAAUCAUGGUUCGAUCCCCGGCUCCUCCAUUCCAUGUCAAUGCGUCCUUGGGAAAAGCGCAAUAUUUGUCUGUGUACUUGUUUGUGUACUAAUGUUUAGAUAGUCCGUAAGGGCGAAUGGCGUCUGGCAUUAGAGAUUUCCAUUUCCACAUUGUCCCCCUGUGGGCGAUCCAUAUUGACGAUUGGAAAUCCAAUCGCCGGUGGGGCGGCAGCGUGGGGCGGCUUUGUGUGUUAGUGUCUGACGGAGAUUUGGAAUGAUUCUGUAGUCCAAAAGUCCAUGACGAACAAGAGAUGGAGUGUUACCUAUAUUUACCAACUUUUAUUUCGUCUUCCCUUCUGGGUACGGUGUGAGUAGCAUACCUAUAUUGAUAGGGCAGCCAUCUAACACCACCCUAAAUUAGAUCAACACAAUGAAACAAAAUCGUAUUUCUCCAUUUCUUUAAGGGUAGCAACCCUAAAUCGCAUAUGACAAGCUUUGAAUUUUGAAAAAGGACAUUUGAUAGAAACCCUUUCCAUAAAGCUACGCUGACUUUUGUUGCUACCCUGCAGGGUAUCUAAUCAAUGGCUGACAUGUUGCUCUGCAACGUCUCUAUUUGAACAGUAGGGCACGGAUUCCAGAGAUGAUUUAUGUUCCGAUAGUGAGUUACUUCCAGCCGCCUUAUCGUGGGUGUAAGAAAAACGGUCAUCCAUCAUCCCUUCAAUUAUCAAUACGCGAUCUGAUCGGCCAACGGCAGAGGGCCAUAACCCAGUACGUUGAAGUCCCUCUGCCGCUGCAGCCGGCUCUUCACCCAGGGCUACAAACCUAACAGGGUUAUAACCUUGCUGUGUUAAAGUAGGAGUGCGGUGGAAAUUCCAAAUAAGCGGUCUAGUAGAAAGGUCUUAAUCAAGAGCUGCCCUUCCAAAGACCUUGUUUGACACCUUGCACUCUUCCCACCGCGCUGAUACCGUCCUGCUGUGCACAGCUCCCCUUGACCCACUUAAUCCACAGAGGCAGCACUUGCACACAUUUGAAGGACUCCUGGAUGCCUUUUACACUAUUUGGAUGUGCUGAGAUGAACUGAACACAAGUUACUUUUAGUGGAGAAUAAAUAGGAUGAUAAAAAACAACCCAAAGUGUGUUUGGUUGCUUUUUAGUUUAAAAUGUAUUCACUAUGUCAAAAUGUAAGAAAUUUGUGGUAUAUAUGGACGACCGUCCUGUAGCCUUGAGGUUUCCAUUUUGAUGAGCCGUCCCUCUCUGCCUAUUAUAGCAACAUGGAAAAGGGACUGAUCCAAAUAAAUGCCUCCCUAGCUCUUUUCCCUCACCCUGCCAUCCUAAAAAAUGAUAUUUCAUGCAUGAUGAGCCCCAGCAAAUGAUAUUAUGUUUGUAUAUCAUCGGUUUGUGGUGUGUGCUCAGAUCAUAAGGACAGAUAGCUCCUUAAAAAUGCCAAGGCGCUCACUGCUCGCCUGUUCUCCAGGCCGAGGGAUCUUUCUGAGGGACUCAUCUGCGGGUGUCAGUUUGUUGGCACUGAUUGGGUCUAACGGGCUUAACGUGGGGAUGGAAGUUUGUUUGGUAAAAUCGCAAAUCCGGGCUGGCAGUUUGUGUUUACUGCUUGCCGAGGGAAGAGUGCGAAGUAUUGUUCCCUUGGGGAAAUGAAAACAAGAAGUAUCACAGAGGGUGUAAUUAUACAUCAUUUCAAACUUUGCCAAACAUGCACAUGUCUCUACAUUUUUAAGAGAUUCUGCCUUGAAGUGAAACCCAUCAUCAUUCAGCAACUGCAUAAUACAUGCAGCUACGUUCUUCUGGGUUGAAAAUGCUUCUUCCUUCAAAAUUAUCAGUGCACAUUAUCUCACCUGACUUAAUGUGCACAGCUCAGCUCAAUUAAAGAGUGCAUCCCAUUUACCACUUAGUAUACCUCCCUGCUCAUGAGACUUCAUUAAAACAUUCACCUUCACAGGUCAAUAAGGAUUUUAAAGCCCUCUAAGACCGCUGAAAGCUGGUCUCCGCAGGCUCGCCACUCUACCCCUGGUUACACACACACACACAAUAACACAUUCGUUCCCAAACAACACACAAUUAUAAUGGUCUGUCUGGUACCAAUGUUGUCAUUUAGGCAAACAGGUUGAUCACAUUACUACUGCUUGGUUGAAUGAAGUGCAGGACCGGGCGCUCUAAUAACUUGACUUCUCAUCUGCAAUGCAGUAAACGAUGGCAGGUCUGAUUUAAAGGCGCAGGCUGCAGGAAAUUGAGAUUGACUCCCUCGCACUGACUCAGUGUGAAAAAUGUUUGAGCUCUCUCGCCUUCAAACGUCGCCUCCAUAAUUUACUCAAACACUAUGUCGCGAUGUGUUUUUUAUUUUUAUUGCAUCUUUUCAUAAUCACCAACGCUGACGAACGGCAUCCCAUAAACAUAUUUAAGAUUAUGAGAGAAUCAUUGGAUGUAUUACAUUUUUUUGAGGACUUACAGUGCUGGGUUAUCUUCUUGACAGUGACGCCCGCGUGCAUUUUUCAUUUUAUUAUUAUGUGCCAAAUCUUGAGCGGCUUUACAAGUCUUCUGUCUAGUGUGAUAUUAAAAAUUCUUGAUAUUGGCAGCAGGUGUGUGCGAGUAGGCAAAGGACUUAGUGUGUUUCAUAAUUAUAGAUAUAAUAUAAUAUACCUGCAUGCAGGUAGUUCAAACACCGACCAGUCUUUCGUCCCUUUUCUGUACAAUACAUACGUGGCAAGCCGCUUUGCGUGUGAGCAUGUGUCCCAACGGGUUGUGCCCCGGGGGAAUCCAUCAUGCUUAUUUUCUUGUUUUGCGUGUCCGGGCACAGACUAAUCAAUCACCCAGACCUUUGGAUGUCUCACCUUGGUCCGUUUGCCACACUUGCCACAGGAACCUCUAAUUGAUGAUGAGACGGUGACACCCGGAAGGUCAAAGGCCACGGGUUCAGAUCCCCGGACGCGAAUGCGGAUCACGUAGGUUGUAGAGUUGGUUCCAUGGUUCUAUGCUUAGAAGUAUCUAAUUGGAUUUUAUAUAGCCAAGAAACACUUGGCAUGAAGACGUUUCUAUCACUUUCUAUCAUUCCUUUUGAACUAAAACCAUCUGAUAUUUACCGAACACCUUAUUUUUUAAGGAGCCACAGAAGGUGACACAUCUUCAAGAUGGCUCAAGAUGUCGUAGCUCCUCCUACUUUUCUUCGAGCUACCUUUCACCCUUUGGAUUCCUGUCCAAUAAGGCCAACGAGCCCUGAAAAGAGACCCAGCUAAUCUCUCCUCAAGCGUCAGCUGGGUUCUGCUUCUGAAAAGAGGCUGUUUAUCUGACCAAAGCCCUUCGCAGUGCCAUUCGCGCUGUGGGGUGCUUAUCGACCAUGAGAUAAUUCAGAAAGCCCCUGAACUAGCUUCUUAGUCAUUAAAAGUUUCCUCAGACUCCUCUUCAAAAGUGCAUCCAUCUGUCUGGUGAGAAAGACCAUGGAGGGGAAUGUGAAGAGUGAUGCAUGUGUUGGGGGGGCUGCACAUUAUCUCUCUGUCUGUCCUUGUGUGGUUGCCUUUGAUUUGAUUUGCUUUGACGCUCCUCCUCUCGUUCUUACCCCUGAUGGAUUGGGUCUCGGGCCUUGGUUGAAAAUUUGUUUCCCUCUUGCUUGAGUCGGCCCGUUAUUUGAUCGGCUUUGUUAACUCUGAUCAAAUAUCGAUGGUGGAUGCUAAAGGGGUGUGUGUAUGUGUGUGUGCGUGUGUGUGUGUGUGUGUGUGAGUGACCUAAAUAGGCAGUUCUUCCACUAAUUUGCUGCAGGAGACCUGACAAGCUUUUGAAGUGAAAGCUUUAGGGACGUCGUUUUGGAUUAAAUUCACUAAAAUCAGUUGUUACACUUGAUUGUGGAGAACCAAGACAUCAAAGUGAACCAAACAUUGCCUCUGAACGAACAACUAUUAACUAACUCGACAUAGUAAACUUUUUAAGGCUUGUUUUUUUUUUUACGAUUAUUAAUACCCAUGCAAAACCAAUAUUUGUAGCCAGUGAAACAAACGAUCUGAGUAGCUUCUAAGCGGACUUACUCAGAGUAAUGUUCAAGGAUUUUUUAGAAAGCGCGAAGAGGAGUAGACAGAUUUAUGCUUUUCAUGUGGCCAUGUGUUUAAUUUAGCAAUGAAGCUGUCAGGCCUCUACUGAACUGGGCGGGUGUGGCCUGGCAUUAAUCAACACCCCAGCACCAAUCGGAUGGUCCACAGCUGCGUGGAGAGGUUUUCCCUAUGAGCCAAGGCUUGAUGACGGAUACCGAUCUCGCUGAACUAGACACAACGAGAGAAACAUUCCACCGCCAGAGGAGAGGGACCGGAGAACGUGUCCCCUCUCCUGUCUCCCGUUAACAAGCAGGUAAUUACGGAUAGUGGUUUCGGGGGGGGGGGGCGUCCGGGCAGUGGGCAGAUUGAUACCAGCAGAGCUUUUAAGAUCCUCAGGACGUGAUUUGGGAAAUGGGCAUGCUCCGGCCCACUUGUCCGUCAAUUUUCGGCUCGAUUCCCCCCAGCGGAGAGAGCCGAUAGUCACCCUCUCUGGGACGACUGUUGGUCAAAGGGGCUCCAGGACCAGUGAAGGAAAUGCACAGUGACGGUACAGAGACAGACAUAAAGGAUGCAGCUGGUGGUGAUGACGCAACACGCGAGGCGGGUGUGAAUAUGGACUUAAUUGGAAGACACAAAACAUUUGCAAUUCGCUUAGCUUAAUCACCAGCAGUAUAGUAGCACGAUAAUGACUGCCACUGGCUUUCAUAAGUGGAUUUGGAGCGAGCCAUCCCGUUUGUUGUAAUCGAUUUAAUGUCCGGGGCGCUGCUUUUAGACAAUAAUUGAGUCGUCACGCGGCCGUAGACAGGGACAUUUGAUUGAAAUGGCGUUAGGUUGUGUGUGUGUGUGUGUGUGUGUAAGACAAGAUCUUGUCCAAUUUUAGUGGCGUAAUGAAACCACGCUAUCGCACGCUGCCGCUUUUCCGGCUUAUUCUCGGCUGCUUGUCGACCUCAGUCUGAGUGCCAACCUAGAUAGGCUGCCUCGGGAAACACUUUGGCCAAUCAGAAACCUCCAUCAUGACCAAUCCCCCCUGUGAGCUCCGUCGGCCCAAUCAGAGCAGCCAGUCAGGGGGCCACUGAGCUGCGACUGUCGGACGGCAUUACCCAAAAUUCCCUGUUUAUCCCCAAGGCUCUGCUGCGUUGGGAGUGUGUGGUGUCGUCUGAGGCCUGUCUGCUAGGAUGCCUCAUUUUUCAUCUGGUUCCCCCCACCCUUCCCUUCCGUCCCUCCCCCUCUACCAACCACCCCUGUGUCUCUCUUUCUAAAUUUGGCAUACAUCCCUUUUGUGUAUGCCUUUGUGGCCUUCUGCAUGUGUUUGUCUGUGGCCGGCUUCCAGUACCUUUCUCCUUUAUUCCUUCUGACCCCCCACGGGAAGCUAUCGCUGGGGUUUGUGCCCGUCUUCUCUCUCUGAGUAAUUGUACAUCUCUUUGAAAUAAACAUUGCCCCCUCCCGAAUUAUCUCUGUCUUACGUAGACCCUCAUAAAGUGCAGAGACCCUCCCUGGGGACUGUGUGUGUGUGUGUGGGUGUGGGUGUUUGUGUGUCUGCAGCUGUGCAUGUUUGCAGGAGAAGCUUGUCAGGUCUAAUUCAGCUGUGGUUGUCGUCACAUUUCCAAUUAGCUACCGGUAUACGUCAGUGUUUUUUAUUUGUGUCGUGUUCGGGUGCAGUUGAUCUUCUCUAUAUUUGCGCGUGUGCUGUGCAAUGAUGCAAUUCGAGGCACCUACUCCUCUGACGGUCGCUCGGGACCUCAAUAUCGAUCACCGUCUUGUCAACACACCCAGUCAACUAGGCCACAGUCAAUGAUUUCUUAUUUUUGAAGAAUCGAUGAGUGGAGGAGGGCGUGCGCGCAACAGCGUGCGUAAAAUUUUGUGACAUAAAAAAAAAAGAUGGCUGUGCACGGCGUGCAAAUGCCGGCGUGGGUAUACGGCACUCCUUCAGGGCGGCUGAUUGACAGCGAGUCAUCUCCGUGGCAGGAAAUCCAUGGCCCACCAUCACCGCCGCGUCUCUGCUGACGAUUUACUGCGAUGCUGAUUUGAUUCCAGCCCGAUAUUCUACAAUUCCCCUCCGGAAUCCCCUCCAGGAGCCCGUGGCCCCUCAGGCUGGGCGUAUCCAUUCAGCGCCGCCUGGAGGGAGCUUUUGUAGAGUGACUUGUUUUUUGAUAUCAUCCAUUAAUCUGUAUCGAUUCAAUGGAAAUUUGUGUCAAAUUGGCCUAUGAUUUUGACUUGUAUUCCCCGAUGGGAGCAAAACCAAAUUGUAUUAUUUUGUACUGAAGUUCUUUAUACUUUUAUAAAGGUUAAGUGAAAUUGUUGGUUGCCAAUACAAUUGUAGCCUUUUUAUGCUCGAUGACCAAGAUUUAGGGGAACCAAAGUAACUCGAAGAAUUGCCUUACUGUAAAAUAAAGUAAUGAUGUCGUGCCAUUUUAUGGCUUUAAUGGAAAGACAAAGUGAAGAUGAUAGGAAUUGAUUUAAUUCUACUCAUAAAAUGUCCCUAUGCCAAUAUGGAUAUGAAUCUCUUACGCCCUCAAAGAUAAAAGUCAGCAGUUUAAGCUCCAUAUUCAUUGUUUUAAAUCCUGUGUGCAGGAGUAAAUCCAAUAUAAUCAAAGGAAGAAAUGAAAGAUUAAUGAUAGAUUGAUAGAUAGAUGGACGGGCGGCGGUUCCCUGAUGAAAUGAAUCUGUUUAUGCUGGUACCUGAUUUAUUGAUGAUAAUUUAUAAAUCUUUUUUUUUUUUUAUUAUUUUAGAUAAAACAUUAAUUCUGUGGCAGUUGGAAAUAUCUUUUAUUUCAUAAUAAUAAUAAUUUAUUAUCUACAUAAUUUUUUUAUAUAUAUAUAUAUAUAUAUACUCUCGCUAACUCUCGCUUUGGUGCCACUUUGCCUCACAGCCUCGCCAGUAGCUGUAGCUCAAAUCAACAAAUCCAACCAGGUGUUACACCUGCCUGAUAUUAACCGAUGAUACAUAUCCCUCCACAUUUGUAUUCUGUGCCAUCUCAGCAAAUGGCAGCAUUGCCGUUUUCGGAUAAGAACAUCUGUGAUGGGGGGUCCACGAUACGACAGGGCUCCUCCUCUUCCUCACCCAGCGUGUCCCCCGAUCUUUCUCCCACUCCUCUUUGUCAGUGUCCCAGUGGUUUGAUGGGCGUGGCUGACGGAUGACAAUCCCAAUUCCGCUCAGGCGCCGUUUCCUGCUAUCUGGGGGGGGGCAAGCCAUGCAAUAGCUUAAAGUGUCACAUUAAAUCGCGGCCAGUGAGGUGGGAAAGGCAGACUGACAGAGACGCCGCUCACAACAGUCAUUAUCUAUGUGUCCCUGCGGGUGACACCCACGGAUGGGAAUGUGAAGCCGCACUGUGCCUGCGCGGAAUUUAAGACGUUGUUUAGGUAGCCCCGAUCUUUACAAUGUCCCAGAGCAAUCUCCCACCUGACAGCGACUGAUCCGCUUCACCAGUCGAAAGUAAUGCGAGUCCCUCACUUGAGAGCGGCGGCAGCGGCGCCGAUGACAGUGAUUACGGCGGUCACACCAAUACUGAUUCAAUGGCGAUAACAGUCAGUCAGCUAUUUAGAUGAUGAGCGGGACGGCGAUGACAGCGAAGGUGACGACGACGACGGCGGCGGCGUGUGUUGAAUCCCGGUUUCAACUGAAGAAACGGAAAAACUCCACCCAGAACACUUCUAAGUGAUUGUCAGCACUGUCAGCAUUAGCUUUCAGACCUCCAACAGGCUCCUUGUAGCCGAGGGGACCAAAAGCUUGUUGUAGCUCACAAAUAAAAAAUACCCGCACCCGGAAAAGAGCAGCAAAAACUUUGCACUCGAAGACAAUUACCCCAAGAAGAAAGCUGCCCUUUGCAUUUAGCUAAUGCGAUUUUGGUGCGGUGCAGUAAAGAAGAAGUGAAGGAGAAAGAGGGGAAAAAAACAAAAACGGUCCAAUUACUGCAACCCUGAAGAGAUUUGGAGAUUCUUUUCCGAUAUUGUGUGAGGGUCGUUUGAAUGGAACAGUGGCAGAAAAGGGGAAAAUGAAUUAUCGAUUGUAAUCACACGGGGCUGCAGCUCUCCGCUCCGUGUGACAGACCUCCUUGCGGGUCCGUCACUGCGGACCCUGUUUAUGGGAACGGCCGAGGCAUUUACAUCGUGCACUGAUUGGGGUCGUUAAGUGACUGAAGUUGUUAGCAUUGAUUCUCUGGUUAGUGUUUGAGUUACGCAGUUCAUGUUCUGCAGGGUUACGGUGAAUAAGUAUUAUUGCAGUGGCUAUUUUUUAAAAAUCUUUUAUAUAUUUAUAUUAUAUAUUUUUGCCAUACAAUUAAAAUCCCGCAGAAAAACAGAUCCAAAGAAAUAACCACCAACAAACUAAACUAUAACCCUUUGCCAUUUGUCAUUUUAUACAAGACCUUUUCCAUCUGUAGAAACCAGCAGCGCUGCUAGUCUUUCAUUCAAUAAGAUUUAUCCUCUUCGCUACCAGCAUACCAACCACUCACAAGGGAAGUGGCUCUUUAACCAGAGUUAAAUACCGUUGGCACAUUAUGUUUUGCAUGGCUUAUUGCAUUAGUAACCAAUAACAAGUUAUUAAACCGGUUUGAAUAUCACUGCUUCCAGCUUUACGCCUGAGCUCAGCUGUGUCUGCCUUGCACAGGUCAUUAGCGGAAGCCUACAACAUAUUUGCAUGCGAUAUCGUUACACAUUUUAAUGCAGUCACAUAAAAAAAAGAAAUACCCCCAAAUGCCUAAGAUUGAAUGGUGGUUUCGCUACAUAUUAAAACUACACUUUCUUCCGGGCUGUUUCUCCCUUUGUCAUACUGGCAGUUUUCUUUUUUUUUCGUCCACUUGUCUCAGGGCCGACUUGUUAACACACACCGUGCGUCUGCAUGCUUCUGUGCAGGGACGCAAUACGUGCUUCGCAUCGUCAGAGAUCGCAGCUCGAGGGUGGGCACAAGCGUCUGAUGGAAACAGGACACACUCAUUCAGAAUACCGAUGAGACGCGGUGCGGAUUCCUCCUCCUCCUCCCGAGGAAGUCAGACACACGCACGCCGUCAACUGCAGCGCACACGCGACCUCCACCUUUGUGAUCCCCGCCAUGACGCUCUCGCAUUUAUCGCUAAUACACUUUGACAUGAAGUCCAUGUGUCAUGUGGACGCCUCGAGUAGUGCUCUGCUGCACGACGACAGCAGAGAAGAAGACCCUCCAUUCACGGUAGAAUGGUGGCGCUUUCACCACUCAAGCCCGGUUGGAUGUGUCUUGAAUGGGGGGGGGCAAUAUAUCAAAAUCCAUUUGAUGCUGUCCUCGCUACAUAUGUCAUUUCUAAAUCCUGAUAAUAUCUUUGAACACCACGAGCUGCGUUCUAGAGCAGGUGAGCAGUAUAAAGCUGUUCAUAAUGUCUCAGCGGUGAUGUAUCAUGCACAGUAAAUCUCAGGGCUCCUCUUCCUCUCCUUCAACUGUUGAGGAUUGAACCUACUUUUUGUAUUUGCUACGUGUCACAGUUGCUUCACAUACCUUUAAUGAAGAGCCUCCCCGUAAAACAAGACUUGUUUUAUGUGGACGGUUCCAAAGAAGAGAGACACGCUGAGGGGAUUAAAUGUUUUAUUGAGUUGUUCUUUGGGUGUAUUUUUUAUUGGUUUGGCUCUCUUUAUAUAUAUCUUUGUACAAACGGGGUCUGUGUUUGGCCAUAAGGUGUUGCCGCUUUAUGUUCCAGGAGAUUGCGAUGAUUAAUUAGUAGAGGGGUGUAAGGAUGAUUGAAUUAACGGUUUAAACUGGAUAUAAUAUCCAUCGUGAUGAAUAACUGUAAUAGAGAUCAUAUGCAUGGUUCAUAUUAGUAUAUUAGUCAUUUCUUUAACAUGCUAUUUGUGGCUUUGCGACAUUCUUUUUGCAGGUAACGGGAAGAACUCCUGAAUUGUGACUCCCGUAUUUAACUCUGUCAAGACCACGUGCAAUAGAGAGUAGGUAGUCAGUCUUCACGACAAUAUCCAAGUGAACGUCAUUUAAUGCUGCAGUAUAUGUAAGUUAAAUUAAAAAACUGUUGGCGUUUGGUUUGCGUUGCCAUCCCUAAACGCUCCAAACUCUGGAGUGUGAUUUGUGAAAAGCAUAUAAAAGUGUGAUUUGAGCUCACCCAGUCGCUGAGAGACCCAGCUCACCAGCAAGAGGCCAGGCCUCCACCUGCAAAAGGUACACACAAUCGUGUGUGUGUGUGUGUGCGCAUGUUCAGGACAGGGGAUAUGACGAGAUGGAGGCGGAUAAGAUCUCCUUUCCAUUUCUCGGCCGGGCAAUGUUAAAGAUUGAACAGGGCGAAGCAUUUGUGGGGAUGUUGCGAGAGGGGGGGGGGUUGUGAGGUCGCAAGUACACAAGCAAUCCCGUAUUGACUGCACCCACUGAUGGAUGGCAUCACAUUGCAGUCCUCUGUAAUCCUACAAACAGGAAGGGGAGAGGCGGAGAAGGUGGUAUGUAAAGGGAGUUAUCGCUGAGGCAACGCGGCCCCCUCUGCGUCUCUGUGACGGCCCUUUGAAAUGGGGGGGAAAAAGAAGCUGAUGAAACGUUAAAAGCAUCACAGACGUCAGCCUGGUGGGGUUCAUGUUGUCAGAUUGAAUGCGCCCUUAUUAUUUCAUUUUCUUUGCGUCGAGGGGCAAAUGAAAGGAAUUCAAACAUCCACUGAGCCAGCACGCACGCGUGUACAGAUUUACUGGUUUCAUGACCCACCACCUACUGCUCCCUCUCUCUCUCUCGCUCUCUCUCCCUAUCUCUUCCCUUCUCACCCCCAAAAUCCAAUCUUGUAUUUGCAAGUGACGGAGAGUUUUACGCCAGGCGCGGUAGAAUAUAUUAAACUGCAGGACAAAUCUAAAUAAAUAAAGGGGGGGAUCCAUCUGUCCCAGAUUCUCUUCAUUGAAUGAGCAUGAUUUGGUCUAACAUGCUGUUCCGUUCACGUAUUUAAUUAUUAAUCGUUUGCUUUCACUGAAUGCAAUGUCGGUGUUCAGUGCAGUUUGUGGCCCAAUAUUGAAAUUGACUGCCCGAGGCUCGUGUGGAAGGUGAUGAUAACUCAGGCCCGUCCGCGAGAAAAGAAAACUUUAAAUUAUGUAACAUCAUCUCCUUGACAUAAGGAGAUAAGUGAGGUGUCUGGAAAGGGAAUAGUUUCCCUUUUGCUCUUUUGUUGACUUGUAAUUCAGGUGCAUUUUACUAUUAAUAAACAUUUAAUGUGGUAAUCCUUUUGCUAGAUUAAUCAUUAAUCUUUUAAGAAUAUGAAUUUAAACGAUUAAGUGUUAAAUGCGGAGCAGUGCCCAACACAAUCCUUAGAAAGGAGCAGCAGGUAAAACCCCCCAAAUAUUGUGUUUUCGAUUAUAUAAAACAGAAGAAACAAGCCCUCACAUUUAUGAUCCUGGAACCAGUCAGUGUUUCUCUCGGUACUUCAUUUGCAUUUUUUUCCUCAUAGUCCACAAAUCCCACAAAAACACCAAAACCUGUAAUGAAUGGAUCGUAAGUAUUUAUUGCGUAGCCAAACACUUGAUACAGAAUAUUGCUCUGUUCCGAAAACCUCCAUUGUUGCUCAAGAUCUAUAAAAAACACAUCAAUAUUUCGCAUUCUUUCUGUGGCUGACAUGUUCCUGUCUUACAACCCGCGCUGUUGUUUAUUUUGAGUCAAUCCCCCUCGAAACAGCACUGCCGCCAUAAAUAUUCGCACCAAACCCUCAACCGAAAAUAAUCCCCAACGAAUGCACUUUACUGCUGAUUGAGUGUUUGCUGAAACACUACAGUGCGGUUGUGUUUGAAGUUAAAGUACACAUUAGUGACUCGUUUUUAAAGAUCAAACCAGUGUGUGUGUUCACUAACUUGCCCAAUGAUAAUUUUAACCUUUAUUUCUCAUUAACCGUUAUGUGGCCACAUCCUGCAGCGUCCUAAGACAUCACCUUGACUGUCGUGUGUAGCAGAUAGCUCGUGCGGAUAUGUGGGCUUUGAGGCUUAAGUGGAAUUUAGCUUGCACAAUACGAUGUUCUUCUCGAGCUUUAUUUGAAAGCAGCAGGAAAUGAUGCAUGAAUGAACAGGUCACUUUUUAUUUGCGUGGGCCGCUGGCUCUUUCUUCGCCAAACGAAUGGCGAAAGCCUCGUAGAGUUCUUCGUUUGCCGCGGAUCGGAGCGCCGGUGCGGUGACACAGCGAUGAAAGGAGGAGGCGGGAAAAAGUCAGGCAGCAACGACGGAUGAAAAAAACAAAAAAAAACAGGCUUCUGGUGCAAGAGAAGUGGCUGAAAAUCAGGUUUGGGGUUUUCUGAAACGUGUCACAGGAGAGAAAUGUAGAAGAAAGGGAGCGGGGAGGAGGAGGGAGGGGGGUGCAAGAUGAAGAGACGAACUAACAGACCCGGAAAACAACAAACUUGGCCGACAGAGGUGAUUGAUGGAGGACGGCUGGAGAGAGAUGGGCCGCGCUCAUUGAAGCAGAGUGCAGCCAAUAACCUCCCGCGGGUCUGUUGUGUCAAGUUCACAUCCACCGCCAGCAAGGCGGCCACUGCAAUAGGAAUUCCCUAUUGAUCGGAGCAACGGGGAGGCAGGUGGGAGGCCGUGGAUCUAUUCUCCUCCCCCCUCUGGUCGGACGAGAGCUCCAGCUGACACCGGCUGCAUUCAUCAAAUCCUCCCAUCCUGCUCCUCCUCCCUGUCGAGCCCUUUUCCUUGUUUCCCCCCCCCCCCGUCCUUUUGUUCCUGCCGAUGCCCCCUCGCUCCUUCCGUUCCACCAGACAGAUG
ensembl:lncRNA